rnacentral:lncRNA from 1 species
AUCUCUAGUUGGAAAUUGUGUGCCUGGAGCUCCUGGACAGAAGGACGAGGCAACAUGCGCACAGUUCUAUGGGCUCACUCCUCCGCGAACCCCAUCUAAUCCUACCCCAUCCAAUCCUCCUCGUUCCUCUUCACCACCUCCUCCAACCCCAUCCAAUCCUCCUCGUUCCCCAUCUCCCCCUCCCCCUUCCCCAUCUUCUCCUCCUCCUUCCCCAUCACAACCUCCUCCAUCUCCACCUCCUCCUUCCCCAUCACCACCCCCUCCUUCUCCAUCUCCACCCCCUCCAUCACCAUCUCCACCACCACCUCCAGUUGUGUCCCCACCGCCUCCUCCAGUUAUAUCACCACCCCCUCCUCCUCCUUACAUUUCUCCCGCUCCUCAGCCAGACACUGAAUGCCCAGAGGGUUACGAACCAGGGAAGAAGUCCGGU